AACAAACGCUGGCGGCGUGCCUAACACAUGCAAGUCGUACGAGAAAGGGUCCUUCGGGGCCUGAGUAAAGUGGCGCACGGGUGAGUAACGCGUGGAUAAUCUGCCCUUCAGUUGGGAAUAACUCAUCGAAAGGUGGGCUAAUACCGAAUAAUGCUGUGAGACCUCGGUUGAUCAGCCAAAGAGAGCCUCUGCUUGCAAGCCCUCGCUGAAGGAUGAGUCCGCGUACCAUUAGCUAGUUGGUAGGGUAAUGGCCUACCGAGGCGACGAUGGUUAGCUGGUCUGAGAGGAUGAACAGCCACACUGGAACUGAGACACGGUCCAGACUCCUGCGGGGGGCGGCAGUGAGGAAUCUUGCGCAAUGGGGGCAACCCGGACGCAGCAACGCCGCGUGAGUGAGGAAGGUCUUCGGAUCGUAAAGCUCUGUCGGAUGGAAAGAACCGCAUAGGGGUAAACAGCCCCUGUGUCUGACGGUACCGUCAAAGGAAGCACCGGCUAACUCCGUGCCAGCCGCCGCCGUAAUAC
rnacentral:rRNA from 1 species